rnacentral:rRNA from 1 species
UACGGAGGGUGCGAGCGUUGUCCGGAAUCACUGGGCGUAAAGGGCGCGUAGGCGGCCUGAUAAGUAGGGGGUGAAAUCCUGCGGCUUAACCGCAGGGCUGCCUUCUAAACUGUCAGGCUAGAGCACAGUAGAGGCAGGUGGAAUUCCCGGUGUAGCGGUGGAAUGCGUAGAGAUCGGGAAGAACAUCAGUGGCGAAGGCGGCCUGCUGGGCUGUUGCUGACGCUGAGACGCGAAAGCGUGGGUAGCAAACAGG